GUUUGCGUAAAUAUGUAAAAAAUUAUAAUUACUUGUUAUUAUUUAUACAUGCAAAUAUUUUGGAAUGAUAACAAAUUGGAAUAAAAAAUACUUUGAUAAAUUUAAUUUAUUAGACAUAUCAUAACAUAAACACUGUGAAAACGAAGAGGUGUGAAUCAUCUCAACACUGUAAGGCGUAUUCUUAACCUUGUAGACGACUAUCUGAACCUCGUUGAGUUUAUUUUUUAGUAUGUUGCCUAAUAAUUUUUGAACUUAUAGUUUUAAUAUUAUGUCGGUAUCUAUUAAAAAUAUAUAAUUGGCGAUCAAAAAUCCCUUAUGCGAUCCCAAUUCUAAGUGUGUUAAAUAAAUGUUUAAGACAUGGGUGAGGCCACAUUAUUCCGAGUCAGACUUUUCUCCAAAGACAAGUAAUGGAACAUUGUACUAAAUGGAAGUCAAUACACUACUGAACGAUCACCAGGCUCGGUAUUCUCAUGUUCUCGCUUGGAGCGAUAUCGAUGUCGGUGAAUCUCAUGCCCUCUGCUCGUAAUAGGAACGCUCCCGCCAAAGAGAAGUGAUUUAUUUCACUCGCAUUCGCAUAUACGAGGCAUAUUUUUUAAGUAAGUACCGUUUUACGAUUCCGCCGCCGCAACCCCAAGGUCAGCGUUCCGCACAUGCGCGCUGGUUACCUACAUCUCUUAUCUACGCACUGACGCAGUGCUUAAGAUGCCUCCGAUAAUCGUGAGUCCCGCGGAUUAUGAAAUACGGGCUGUUAUACGAUUUCUUAGUGCUAAAUGCGUAAAACCGAUCGAUAUUCAUCGUGGAUCUGUGAAAAAGAAGAAGCAACAAUCCAUGGAAUGGCGACAUUCAUCAUCACCCAAAAAAGUGAAGUUUAAGAAAACAAUUUCUGCCCGGAAAAUCAUGUGCACCGUUUUUUGGGACAGAAAAGGAGUAUUGCUCGUGGAGUUUCGGCCUCGUAAUCGAUGCAGCGUCUUAUUGUGAGACAUUGAACAAUCUGCGUCAUGCAAUCCAAAACAAAAGACGUGGCAAGUUGAGUAAGGGUAUCGUUUUGCUGCAUGAUAAUGCCCGUCCACAUGUGGCUAAUCGGACCAAAGAUCUCAUCCAAUCUUUUCAAUGGGAAAAGUAGUGGUGGUGAUACAGAAUUUCAUAAGGAGGGUAUUCAAAAACUGAUGCCACGUUAUGACAAGUGCCUCAAUAUUCACGGAAAUUAUGUAGAAAAGUAUAUUAAGGUACAGGCUUUCAUGUAAAAAUAGAAUUAUUGCGAUAUCUUUGCACUUCUUUUUUUAAUUCCAAAACGGUACUUACUUAAAAAAUAUGCCUCGUAUAUAGACAAUUCUAAGCUAUCAUUUUUAUUGAAACAGUGUUUUAAAAAUUAUAAUUGUAAAAUUCUAAGGGCUUGUUGUGGACAAUUCCUUGAAAUGGGAGUUACAUAUUGCGCUUUAUCUAAAAAAAUUAAGUUCCUCCUGUUUUGAGCUCAGAUCAGUUUCCAAAGAACUGAACUUAUUCCCCUCCUUAACAGUCUUAUCGAGUCGCAUCUCCGAUAUGCCCUUUCCUUUCUGGGUAUAUCUGGCAAUGAGAAAGCAGACAGUCUCGCUAAAAAAGGGUCAACGAUUCCAUACUUAGGACCAAAGCCCUCACGAGAUGUCACAUCGACAACGAACAGAACGGGUGGCUAAAGAAUCAGAUGGAGUCUCACUGUAGAAACGCUCUAGACUCCAGGCUCGAGACAAUCUAAAAGAUUCAUAAUCAUAUCAGUUAAGAAGUCUGGGGAACCAGAAACGACACCAAACUGGUUGUCGGUAUUCUGACAGGUCACUGCCCCGUCUAAUACCACUUUAAGACGAUAGGUAUGGCAGAGGAUCAAAACUGCAGAUUCUGCGAGCAAGCCACGAAAACAGCAGAGCAUCUACUCUCCGAAUAUCCUGCCCAUUUUAUUAUAAGGCUAAAGUACCUAGAAGGAGUAGUACUAACUCUAACAGAACAAUGAGAUGAAAAAUCUUAAAUAAGAUAUCUUCUAGGUAUAGGUAGAGAGUGGCUGAAAAGCUAAAACUACUCCCCAAACAAUCCAGGUUUGAUUACCUUAAUUGGCCAAUAACUGGGGAAAAAGUUAUUUUUCUGUCAAAUGCGAUAUUUUCUUAUAAUUUGCCGUUUCAUAAAUCCAGAAACGAACUUGAUGUUCCAACCCAAUUAUUGGUAAAACCGGAAGUAUUAAUUUCCCACAUCUGAAACCUCAAUAAAUGGAUUCUACGACUUCGAAAACGCUAAACUAAGUUGUUUUUAUUAUGAUCCUAAACCGGCAGUUAUAGUAAGUCAAAUCAUAUGAGAUAAUGUCAUCAUUAAGGAAAAUUAUUGGUGUGGUGCAUUGCCUUCUCCUCAUCGAAUUUAUUAAAUUCCACUUUGAAUGCUGAUGAAUAUUAUAUUUGAAUAUUUCGAGACAGCUAGGAAAGUAUGUCGAAUUAUUGUUUUCAGUUUAUACCAAUAUAUGUCUAUUAUUCCAAACAAAUCGUGAAUUUCAAGAUCUAGAAAUGACUAAAAGUAUUUCUAAUCUCUGGAACCGACUAUAAACUGAAAUGCCUCAAAUUUUCUCCAUGUUAUCUUCAAUAGUUGGAGACUUUUACUAACUGAACUUAUUGUGCUAGUUUUUAAUCACACAAAAAUCCCAAAAAUUAUCUUCUGAUUUACUAAAUAUUUUAUAAAUAAUUGAUAAUUAGUUUUAUAUUUAGUCUUGCUUAGUAAGUAAACAAGUGAUUAAGUAUUUCAACUUCCAACACAAAAUUCUGGCAAUUUUAUUAAAAAGGAAUAUUUUGUUUUUUAAUUAGACCAGUUCAAUAAUAAUGGGAGUAAUGCUAUUACCAUUGAAAAGUGGAGAUACUUUUUCUAUAGAAUACGAAUCUGCGGCCAAAAUUCUUCACUUGCGUAAUUUUUUUUAAAAUAUUUGAGGUUAUCUAUGCAAAGAGUAUCUUUUUAUCUAUUUUUGAGGUUGUUAAGUUGCCUCAACAAAAUUUUUGGGAUAUCCUCUUUAAAUCCAUAAUUUAUUUAGUUUCUUCUUAAUUCAUGAAUAACAGAGUUUAAUCAAAAUUUUUUUUCUGUUGUAGAUUGUUUGGAAGUAGUUUUGGCUCUGUACUUAUACCUAUUUUGUACAAGAUUCUACAUCUCAUUGUUCUGCUUCCCAAAUGCGGAGUCUCCUCCCAAAGUAGGCUAUGUCAUGACAACAGCAAAACUAGUUAUUCUCGCUAGUUAUGGCUCGCGGAAUCUGCAAUUGUUGUCCUCUGCCAUACUUAUGGUAUCUGACGGAGCAGUGACCUGUCAGAAGACCGACCACCAGUUUGAUGUUGUAUCUGGUCAUAGAGUUCUUCAGACUUUUAACUGAAAUGGUUAUGAAUCUUUCAUAUUAUGUAAGACCUGGAGUGUUUCCCCAUUUGAUUCUUUAGCCAUUCAUUCAGUUUUAGGUAUGGAGUCGUUGCCACUUUUUUGGCAAAGUUGUCUGUUUUCUCUUGGCCUGGUAUGUUUUGAUGGCCCAGUAACUACAUAAGGAUUACUUUGUUUCUGUUAGCUAGUGUUUUAAGUUUUUUUGCACUCCCGCACUAAUUUGAAGGUGCACUCAAUAUCAUUCAGGACCUUCAAGGCCUCUUGGCUAUCUGAGUGAAUGUGCUUUUUAUCCAAAUACUUCUAAGCACAUUUAUAUUUAGGCUGUGAUUCUUGUUCAGUUUUUUCCGAGCUUCCAUUGGUUCAGUUUUCAACUACCAAACAAGCGUUGUGUGCAGGGUCGGAUUAAGAUUUAUAAGGCCCGGGGCUAAAAUAAUGACGGGGCCCCCUUAAGGAAUUCGGAAACCCGGAAAUUCACAAAAUAGUAUCAAUACUUUAGAUUUGUGGCAUCAACACAUUAAAAAAUACAAAAUGAUUUCCAAAUGAUGGGGCCCUCUUGGACCUGGGGCUAUAGCCCCCACAAGCCCCUAGCUUAAUCCGGCCCUGGUUGUGUGUGUGAUCAUGGAAUUGAUGACUGUUUGAUAUAACCAGAAUACCUUCUUAGGCUUUAGUCCACAUGCCCUGCGAACAAGCUUGCCACAAGUACAUAUAGCCACAGUGGCUUUAGACAUUACCUUGUCUAUAUGAUUGUUCUAAGAUGACUCUUAGAUAUUUUACGUCAGUAUCAGUUUAGUUCCUUUAAGGAUAGAUACACUACUAUUUUCCUUCUCCUUGUAGCCUAGAACUAUAAAUCCAUUACUGCUAAGUCUAAAGAGAAUUUUGUCAAUUACAAAUGACCACAGUAGGGGUGAUAGGUCUUCGCCUUGCGGACAGCUUUUAACUGUAGUAACAGUGAAAGGGUUGCCAUUUAUUUCUGAGAUUACUAAGAGAUGUUGUAGCAUCACAUCGGUCCAUUUUAGAAUAGGGAUUUCUACUUCCCGCUCUACUAACGCUCUUUUGAUGGUUUGAUGUGAAAUGUGUCAAAAGCUUCUACGUCGAUGAAAGCUGUUAGAGCAAUAUCUUUUCUGUCAAGAGCCUUUCUAUGUCUUUAACUAGACAAUGAACUGCACUUGUGGUGGACUUGCCUUAUUUUAUAAGCAAAUUGUUUCAUGUUUUUUCCUGUUAUGUUAAAGUGAAGUUACAUGGGGUUAUAUCAUUCGGAUUAAUUUCUUUAGAGCAGAUUUGUAGGGACAAAGGGAAUUCAAGGUUCAAUUUUGAGAAAAUAAUGAUUGUUCACCAAUUGAGUGAGGUUAAUGAAUAAAGAGCCAGAAUACUGCUGCAAUAAAAUGAGGUAGUGACCAGUAUCAAUAUAUGACUGGUAGCUGUUUAUAUAUGUUUUGUUUCAAAAAGGAUAUUAAAAUUCAUAUUUACAAAGAAAUAGAUUACAAAAUAUAUUGUAAUAUGGCUUUGGACAAAUUUAUUUUUUCAGCAUAUCAGCAUAGGCACCAGAAAUCAAAUCCUGCUUACUAAUAUUUAAUUUCACCAUCAACUCAUUUGCAAUGUUUUCACCAUCUUCAGGGCUUUGAUCAUCAUGCAACAUUACCUGAAAAAAAUUGAAUUAUUUUGAAUUAUAUUUAUCAAAUUUAUUUGUACUUCUGAAAUAUAACACUAUACCAAACUCAACUUACAGAGGCGGUCAAGUAAAAUUAAUUUAAGGGUGUAAUCACUUUUAUUCUCUCUUCCCAUUGGUUGAGUUUUUGUCUGAUGCAGUGUCUAGUUCAUGGACUAUGUGUUUGAUUCAUAAACAUCAGUGUUUUGUAAGUAUCCAUAGUUAUUUAUGCUAAUGCAGGUAUAAAGAGUGUCUGAUUCUUUAUGGCAAUGUUACCACUAACUUUAUUACUGCUAAAAAAUUAAUUUCUACUAUAAAUUUAUUUUACAAAGCACAUUAUUUAUUUUCAAACUAGGAGAAACUUUUCUGUAUAUCAAAAGAUUUGUGCUACGGCAAAAAAGAGUGUUUCAUAGAAAGAGAUUUAUUUAUAAAUAGAUAUUUUAAAUGGUACAAAAUUGUAACCUAAUCAGUGGGAAAGUCUACACAGAGAAAUAAAAAAAAAUAUCUAUUACGAAUAAGUUGAGGUUAUCAAUGAGAAAAUUCUUGGUAGCAAAAUAUAUGUUUUUAUUUACUAAAAAUUUGAUAUAGGGAAGAACAUGAAAACUGGAAAGAAACUUGAAAAUCCCUCAAGGGGAAAAGCAAAUCAUUAUGUUGUCAUUGUGAAGGGAAACAAAUAAAGUCUAACAUGUCAGAAGUUACAGGGAAGAGAAUAUGAAGGAGGUGAAUAGAAUUAUUAUUGAUAGAAAAUUUUUUUCAAUUGAGAGCUAAAAGAACAAGAAUGAGAUAGUAUAAAAUGCUAUACAAACUGCACCAAUCAUUUUAAAAACUACAAAAUUUUUUUAAUUAGAAAAUAAAGUACAAAUUUCAUUUAUAUAAAGUAGGAAAGAAAUUAAUAAAUAUUACUAA